CCACCUGCCUCUGCCUCACGUGUGCUGAGUGCUGGGAUUAAAGGCGUGCGCCACCACGCCCGGCGAGAUACUAAUUUUUAUACACCGGGCAUGGUAGUACACACCUUUGAUCAUAGCACUCAGAGAAACUGAGGCAGGUAGGCC
rnacentral:miRNA from 1 species